AAAAAAGGUAAGCUACUAAGAGCGAAUGGUGGAUGCCUUGACUGGUAAAGGCGAUGAAGGACGUACUAGACUGCGAUAAGCUACGGGGAGCUGUCAAGAAGCUUUGAUCCGUAGAUUUCCGAAUGGGGCAACCCAAUGUAUAGAGAUAUACAUUACCUAUAUAGGAGCGAACGAGGGGAAUUGAAACAUCUUAGUACCCUCAGGAAAAGAAAUCAAUAGAGAUUGCGUCAGUAGCGGCGAGCGAAAGCGCAAGAGGGCAAACCCAGUGCUUGCACUGGGGGUUGUAGGACUGCAAUGUGCAAGAGGUGAGUUUAGCAGAACAUUCUGGAAAGUAUAGCCAUAGAGGGUGAUAGUCCCGUAUGCGAAAAACAAACCUUAGCUAGCAGUAUCCUGAGUAGGGCGGGACACGAGGAAUCCUGUCUGAAUCCGGGUCGACCACGAUCCAACCCUAAAUACUAAUACCAGAUCGAUAGUGCACAAGUACCGUGAGGGAAAGGUGAAAAGAACUGAGGUGAUCAGAGUGAAAUAGAACCUGAAACCAUUUGCUUACAAUCAUUCAGAGCCCUAUGUAGCAAUACAGGGUGAUGGACUGCCUUUUGCAUAAUGAGCCUGCGAGUUGUGGUGUCUGGCAAGGUUAAGCAAACGCGAAGCCGUAGCGAAAGCGAGUCUGAAUAGGGCGCUUAGUCAGAUGCUGCAGACCCGAAACGAAGUGAUCUAUCCAUGAGCAAGUUGAAGCUAGUGUAAGAACUAGUGGAGGACUGAACCCAUAGGCGUUGAAAAGCCCCGGGAUGACUUGUGGAUAGGGGUGAAAGGCCAAUCAAACUUCGUGAUAGCUGGUUCUCUCCGAAAUAUAUUUAGGUAUAGCGUUGUGUCGUAAUAUAAGGGGGUAGAGCACUGAAUGGGCUAGGGCAUACACCAAUGUACCAAACCCUAUCAAACUCCGAAUACCUUAUAUGUAAUCACAGCAGUCAGGCGGCGAGUGAUAAAAUCCGUCGUCAAGAGGGAAACAACCCAGACUACCAGCUAAGGUCCCUAAAUCUUACUUAAGUGGAAAACGAUGUGAAGUUACUUAAACAACCAGGAGGUUGGCUUAGAAGCAGCCAUCCUUUAAAGAAAGCGUAAUAGCUCACUGGUCUAGUGAUUUUGCGCGGAAAAUAUAACGGGGCUAAAGUAAGUACCGAAGCUGUAGACUUGCGCACAACUUAGAUUAUUUAAGUUUAGAAUAUGAGAAACUAAGUUAUAUGUUUAGUUAUAUUUUUACUGAUUUUUAUAGAGUAAAGAUAGAAAUAAAACUUAGUAAAAUCAGUAAAAAUAUUCUUAGAUUAAAGUUAAGUAGUUUAAGUUGUGUGCAAGUGGUAGGAGAGCGUUCUAUUUGCGUCGAAGGUAUACCGGUAAGGAGUGCUGGAGCGAAUAGAAGUGAGCAUGCAGGCAUGAGUAGCGAUAAUUAAUGUGAGAAUCAUUAACGCCGUAAACCCAAGGUUUCCUACGCGAUGCUCGUCAUCGUAGGGUUAGUCGGGUCCUAAGUCGAGUCCGAAAGGGGUAGACGAUGGCAAAUUGGUUAAUAUUCCAAUACCAACAUUAGUGUGCGAUGGAAGGACGCUUAGGGCUAAGGGGGCUAGCGGAUGGAAGUGCUAGUCUAAGGUCGUAGGAGGUUAUACAGGCAAAUCCGUAUAACAAUACUCCGAGAACUGAAAGGCUUUUUGAAGUCUUCGGAUGGAUAGAAGAACCCCUGAUGCCGUCGAGCCAAGAAAAGUUUCUAAGUUUAGCUAAUGUUGCCCGUACCGUAAACCGACACAGGUGGGUGGGAUGAGUAUUCUAAGGCGCGUGGAAGAACUCUCUUUAAGGAACUCUGCAAAAUAGCACCGUA
rnacentral:rRNA from 1 species